AACGAACGCUGGCGGCAUGCCUAACACAUGCAAGUCGAACGAGAUCUUCGGGUCUAGUGGCGCACGGGUGCGUAACGCGUGGGAAUCUGCCCUUUGGUUCGGAAUAACAGUUGGAAACGACUGCUAAUACCGGAUGAUGACGAAGGUCCAAAGAUUUAUCGCCAGAGGAUGAGCCCGCGUAGGAUUAGCUAGUUGGUGUGGUAAAGGCGCACCAAGGCGACGAUCCUUAGCUGGUCUGAGAGGAUGAUCAGCCACACUGGGACUGGGACACGGCCCAGACUCCUACGGGGGGCAGAAGUGGAGAAGAUUGGACAAUGAGCGAAAGCCUGAUCCAGCAAUGCCGCGUGAGUGAUGAAGGCCUUAGGGUUGUAAGGCUCUUUUACCCGGGAUGAUAAUGACAGUACCGGGAGAAUAAGCUCCGGCUAACUCCGUGCCAGCAGCCGCAGUAA
rnacentral:rRNA from 1 species